GACGAACGCUGGCGGCGUGCUUAACACAUGCAAGUCGAACGGAAAGGCACUGCUUUUGUGGGGUGCUCGAGUGGCGAACGGGUGAGUAACACGUGAGUAACCUGCCCUUGACUUUGGGAUAACUUCAGGAAACUGGGGCUAAUACCGGAUAGGAGCUCCUGCUGCAUGGUGGGGGUUGGAAAGUUUCGGCGGUUGGGGAUGGACUGGCGGGUUAUCAGCUUGUUGGUGGGGGAGUGGCUUACCAAGGCAGUGACGGGUAGCCGGCCUGAGAGGGUGGCCGGCCACAUUGGGACUGAGGUACGGCCCAGACUCCUACGGGAGGCAGCAGUGGGGAAUAUUGCACAAUGGUCGGAAGCCUGAUGCAGCAACGCUGCGUGCGGGAUGACGGCCUUCGGGUUGUAAACCGCUUUCGCCUGUGACGAAGCGUGAGUGACGGUAAUGGGUAAAGAAGCACCGGCUAACUACGUG
rnacentral:rRNA from 1 species